UAUUAUAACAUUACAAUGGACCGUACAACACGUCAUUUAUAUUUUUAUUAUUUUAAAUACUCAGCACUGCAGCGAGCAAUAUGUAUUCGUCUUACUACGAUUUUUCGUGUCCGAGAACAACUUUUCUACCGGAAAUUAACGCGCCAUUCAAUAAACGACAAGAGAGGUUUUUAUUUUGGCGUUUCGGAUCUGUAUACUGCAGAUGCACGGAUAAAGUUAUUUUUUUUGAUAUCGAUCGCGGUUUUCAUAACGG